rnacentral:rRNA from 1 species
AGAGUUUGAUCCUGGCUCAGGAUGAACGCUAGCGGCAGGCCUAACACAUGCAAGUCGAACGGUAACAGGAAAUAGCUUGCUAUUUUGCUGACGAGUGGCGCACGGGUGCGUAACGCGUAUACAAUCUACCUUUUGCUGAGGGAUAGCCCAGAGAAAUUUGGAUUAAUACCUCAUGGUAUUAUUGAUAGGCAUCUAUUAAUAAUUAAAGGUUACGGCAAAAGAUGAGUAUGCGUCCCAUUAGCUAGUUGGUGAAGUAACGGUUCACCAAGGCAACGAUGGGUAGGGGUCCUGAGAGGGAGAUCCCCCACACUGGUACUGAGACACGGACCAGACUCCUACGGGAGGCAGCAGUGAGGAAUAUUGGACAAUGGAGGCAACUCUGAUCCAGCCAUGCCGCGUGCAGGAAGACUGCCCUAUGGGUUGUAAACUGCUUUUAUACAGGAAGAAUAAGCCUUACGUGUAAGGUGAUGACGGUACUGUAAGAAUAAGGACCGGCUAACUCCGUGCCAGCAGCCGCGGUAAUACGGAGGGUCCGAGCGUUAUCCGGAAUUAUUGGGUUUAAAGGGUCCGUAGGCGGAUGAUUAAGUCAGGGGUGAAAGUUUGCAGCUCAACUGUAAAAUUGCCUUUGAUACUGGUCAUCUUGAGUUGUAUUGAAGUAGGCGGAAUAUGUAGUGUAGCGGUGAAAUGCAUAGAUAUUACAUAGAACACCAAUUGCGAAGGCAGCUUACUAAGUACUAACUGACGCUGAUGGACGAAAGCGUGGGUAGCGAACAGGAUUAGAUACCCUGGUAGUCCACGCCGUAAACGAUGGAUACUAGCUGUUCGGGACCUUGAGUUCUGAGCGGCUAAGCGAAAGUGAUAAGUAUCCCACCUGGGGAGUACGUUCGCAAGAAUGAAACUCAAAGGAAUUGACGGGGGCCCGCACAAGCGGUGGAGCAUGUGGUUUAA